rnacentral:rRNA from 1 species
UACGUAGGGUGCAAGCGUUGUCCGGAAUUAUUGGGCGUAAAGAGCUCGUAGGCGGUUUGUUGCGUCGGCUGUGAAAUCCCGAGGCUCAACCUCGGGUCUGCAGUCGAUACGAGCAAACUAGAGUGUUGCAGGGGAGACUGGAAUUCCUGGUGUAGCGGUGAAAUGCGUAGAGAUCGGGAGGAACACCAGUGGCGAAGGCGGCCUCUGGACCAAUACUGACGCUCAUGCACGAAAGCGUGGGGGAGCAAACAGG